ACUACGCCUUGAAAUAGGCGCGCGGGGCGCUC
rnacentral:sRNA from 1 species